AUUUCCCUAAGGUAGCUGAGGCUGUAAUCGGAAGUAUUUCUCAGUAGAGCUUUCCUAGGACUUAUUUUAUCAUUGGAAAUAGUAAAAUCAAAUUGACACUCCUGUUUAUGGCAUCAGUAAUCUCCCUAUGCACCAGUCAUGAGUUUCCAAGGCUAUGGAAGCCCCUUGAGUUCUCCGACUCUUAUCUUGUUUAGACAAGGUCAUAGUCAAAGUGGAGGUUCUCUCCUCCCUUCAGAGAAAGGCACCUCCCUCUUUGAAGACCUGUUCUUUCCACUGGGAUCUCACUCACAGAGAUCUAAGUCAACAACAGGAGUCACUGUGCACUUACUCCUCAUGUAGGAUCUCUGUCCUUAAUGUGCUGUACACUGAGGCUUAAUGCUAUAACGAGUACUCAAACAGUAUAUUUCACUUUGUGUUUCUAUGGGGGUGCAAACGAUUGAAAUCUUUACUUAAUGUACACUAAACUGAUCUUCUGUUAAAAAAAAAAAAAAAAAGAAACUAUCAAUUCCCAACUUGACUCUCACUGGGAUUAAACAUGACAAUAGGUCUGAUCUGAUUUCAUCAUCAUUUAAAAAAAAAUCAUCUAUUAUUUUUCACUUUAUGUUUCUGUGUGGGAACAAACUGUUGAAAUCCUUACUUAAGGUAUACUAAGCAGUGUUCUGAUUCGCUGUUGAGCCAGCUGUGCAGCCUCGUGCGCAGGCACCAUUACAAGGAAUUGUGUCAGCUGUGUAAAGUCUUGUGCCUGCUAAACUGCCUUAGCCCACACCUGAGCCCGGUUACCAGGAAGCGCAGCACGAGGGGGCGGGGCCUGCACGCAUCACGUGAUUCCCACCAUAUUGACGGGCUCAACUGCAGCAGAGGUGCUCUGGUGGGGCUCGAGGUUUGUUCCGGGAGGUUGGCGGCUCUUCCUCACUGUGACGGGCGAACAUGGCGCCUGCUGGAGAGGAGGGUCCUGAAAGUCGCCAUGAAGAGACAGGCGUUCAUCCUGCUCGUCUAGAAAUUUCUUCUUGGGAUCUCCAGGAAGCAGAUACUGGCAGAUUUCUCAUUUUGGAGGCUUGUAACCAGUUGACCACCACUUUGACCUGCUCUAAGCUGAGGAUUACAAUAUUGGAACAACUUGUUUGCAGGAGAAAUUCAUCUUGAAUCAGAAAGAUUGGUAGCAGCUUGAUUCUAUUACCAAGUUGAAUGAUCUUGUAGGCCUCAUUUCUUUAUAGGUACAGUGAUGUGUUCCAGCUACUAUGAUUGUCUGUUGAUGAAGAGCUGAGCAAAAUAAAAUGUAAGCACACAACA
rnacentral:lncRNA from 1 species